rnacentral:lncRNA from 1 species
CAACUUUGCUUAUUUUGCAAGAAAUUGACAUGAUUUUGUAUGUGUGAUGUGUUUUGGUGUUUUUUGAAUGUUAAUACAUGUAUAUAUGUAUGGUAUAUACAUGAUUGAUCACUUGUUAUGCAUUUAUAACAUGUUAUAAUGUAUUUUGGAUGGAUUUGAGUGUUAAACCGCCUUAGAAACUCAAGAACAGAUAUUUUCU